rnacentral:rRNA from 1 species
UACAGAGGUCUCAAGCGUUGUUCGGAUUCAUUGGGCGUAAAGGGCGCGUAGCGGCGGGGUAAGUCUGGUGUGAAAUCUCGGAGCUCAACUCCGAAAUUGCACUGGAUACUGCUCUGCUUGAGGGUUGGAGAGGAGAUCGGAAUUCACGGUGUAGCAGUGAAAUGCGUAGAUAUCGUGAGGAAGACCAGUGGCGAAGGCGGAUCUCUGGACAAAUCCUGACGCUGAGGCGCGAAGGCUAGGGAGCAAACGGG